CCUACGGGCGGCUGCAGUGGGGAAUAUUGGACAAUGGGGGGAACCCUGAUCCAGCCAUGCCGCGUGUGUGAAGAAGGCCCUCGGGUUGUAAAGCACUUUCAGUGAGGAAGAACGCCUGGUGGUUAAUACCCAUCAGGAAAGACAUCACUCACAGAAGAAGCACCGGCUAACUCCGUGCCAGCAGCCGCGGUAAUACGGAGGGUGCGAGCGUUAAUCGGAAUUACUGGGCGUAAAGCGCGCGUAGGUGGCUUGAUAAGCCGGUUGUGAAAGCCCCGGGCUCAACCUGGGAACGGCAUCCGGAACUGUCAAGCUAGAGUGCAGGAGAGGAAGGUAGAAUUCCCGGUGUAGCGGUGAAAUGCGUAGAGAUCUGGAGGAAUACCAGUGGCGAAGGCGGCCUUCUGGACUGACACUGACACUGAGGUGCGAAAGCGUGGGUAGCAAACAGGAUUAGAUACCCCAGUAGUC
rnacentral:rRNA from 1 species